rnacentral:rRNA from 1 species
AGAGUUUGAUCCUGGCUCAGGAUAAACGCUGGCGGCGUGCCUAACACAUGCAAGUCGAACGUCCUCCGGGAAACCGGAGGGAGUGGCGGACGGGUGAGUAACACGUGGGUUAUCUACCUCCUAGUGCGGAAUACCGGCGAGAAAUCGCCGACAAUACCGCAUAGCCUUCGCAAGAAGGAAAGCUCUGGCAACAGGGCGCU